rnacentral:rRNA from 1 species
UAAUAGUGUAUAUUAAAGUUGUUGCAGUUAAAAAGCUCGUAGUUGAAUGUUGGUGUCGAACGAGCGGUCAGCUUCGGCUGUACUGCUCUCUCGACUCCUUCCUUCUGUGGACUACGUCGCACUUUACUGUGUGGCGCUAGGACGCAGAUCGUUUACUGUGAAAAAAUUAGAGUGUUCAAAGCAGUCCGUACGCUUGAAUACAUUAGCAUGGAAUAAUGGAAUAGGACGUCGGGCCUAUUUUGUUGGUUCUAGGACCGUCGUAAUGAUUAAUAGGGACAGUUGGGGCCGUUUAUAUUCCGUAGUCAGAGGUGAAAUUCUUGGAUUUACGGAAGAUAAACUACUGCGAAAGCAUUCGGCAAGGAUGUUUUCGUUAA